CUUGUACACACCGCCCGUCACACCAUGGGAGCGGGUUCUGCCAGAAGUAGUUAGCCUAACCGCAAGGGAGGGCGAUUACCACGGCAGGGUUCGUGACUGGGGUG
rnacentral:rRNA from 1 species